CUCGUCGGCCUGCUGCGGGCAGAUGAAGUGGAUGUGCGUGUCGAUGCCACCGGCCGUGAUGAUCUUGCCCUCGCCGGCGAUGACGUCGGUGCAGCUGCCGACGACCAUGCCCGGCGUGACGCCGUCCAUAACGUCCGGGUUCCCGGCCUUACCGAUGGCGGAGAUCAUACCCUUCUUGACGCCGAUGUCGGCCUUGUAGAUGCCGGACCAGUCGAGUAUGAGGGCGUUGGUGAUGACCAGGUCCAGCGACUCGUCGUCGGACCUGCCCGAGGCCUGGCCCAUGCCCUCGCGCAG
rnacentral:sRNA from 1 species